rnacentral:lncRNA from 1 species
GGGUCUACUCUAAUUCACCGAAAAACGAAGUUUCGUACGAAAUUUCGCGAACUUCUUACCACGGUUCCAUUUCGUUCCGAAUUUUCGUACGAACGAAGAUUGUUUGACGUUUAUUGUCUAUAAACCUACUCUUAUUCGAAAUGCUACGAACGAAUAUUUGAGUUUGACAGACGAAACUUCGGAAUUUUAACCUCAAAUUCAACGAAACCAAAAGAGUUAUCGUUUGAUUUUCGUGUUACUUUUCGUUUUGUGAUUUUUGUGUGAAAAUUAUUGGCAAAGGCUACAAUAAUGCUUUUAAUCAAAGCAGCUUUACGUGAAGAUCGUGUAGAGCGAAGAAGGAACCGGCAGUUCUUGCGCAAUCAAUUAAAUAUAAGCGAAAUUCCCGACGUAGAGUUUGUAGGAAAGCACAGACUCAGUCGGCAAUUUUUCGAAGGGUUGUGCCAGGAAUUCGUGCCUUUAUUACCUCCAAACAAUGCAUAUUGCAAUUGCUAGACCUUCUGGAAUCGAAAAUAUUUCCAUUCUCUUAACACCCAAGUUGUAAGUAUAAGAACUAAACAUUAAUGAUUUAAUUGAGGCAUUGACUGUUGUUUAUUAUGAUGCUGAUCAAUCCUUUAUUAUUUUCCAGAUAUGUGACAGUGAUUACUAUAUAACAAAUGUGGGUGUAACAUUUGGUGGAGCAACACAAGAUGCUUAUAUUUGGAGAGAGUGUGAUAUUAGAAGCCACUUGAAGGGUCUCCAGAAUGAAACAGUUUAUCUGUUAGGUCACUCUGGGUAUGCUCUAAGGGAGCAUAUGAUGACACCUAUAGAUAAAGCUGUUGAAGAUUCUCUUGAAGGCAGAUACAACUUUGCACAGCUUUGUUAGUGCACAUUUUAGAAAAGAAUAGGUAGGACAAAGUUCUACUCAAGCACAUCAUAACAUGCUCCAGAAAAACUGUUUGUUUAUUGAUUUUAAGAAUUUGAAAUGAUGUUAUUUCUUUCCUUUAGAGUUUAAUAAAAGAAUAAAUUAUA